rnacentral:rRNA from 1 species
UGGGGAAUAUUGCACAAUGGGCGCAAGCCUGAUGCAGCGACGCCGCGUGGGGGAUGACGGCCUUCGGGUUGUAAACUCCUUUCGCCAGGGACGAAGCGUUUUGUGACGGUACCUGGAGAAGAAGCACCGGCUAACUACGUGCCAGCAGCCGCGGUAAUACGUAGGGUGCAAGCGUUGUCCGGAAUUACUGGGCGUAAAGAGCUCGUAGGUGGUUUGUCACGUCGUCUGUGAAAUUCCACAGCUUAACUGUGGGCGUGCAGGCGAUACGGGCUGACUUGAGUACUGUAAGGGUAACUGGAAUUCCUGGUGUAGCGGUGAAAUGCGCAGAUAUCAGGAGGAACACCGAUGGCGAAGGCAGGUUACUGGGCAGUUACUGACGCUGAGGAGCGAAAGCAUGGGUAGCAAACAGGAUUAGAUACCCUGGUAGUCCAUGCCGUAAACGGUGGGCGCUAGGUGUAGGGACCUUUUGGGGUUUCUGUGCCGUAGCUAACGCAUUAAGCGCCCCGCCUGGGGAGUACGGCCGCAAGGCUA